CUUGAUAGAAGAAUUUACACUUUGUUCAAUAUUGACCGAGUGCUCUCCCAAAGUAGAAAGAUUCAAAGCAAGAGCGUGAGGAUUGUAGGUGGAAUUGGUAGGGAACAUGAGAUUAACACUGCAUAUCACCUGAGAAACUGAUCUGGUCAAUUAUAUUGAAGAGUGAAGUGAAUCGGAAACAGAGGGUGAAUGGGUAGAGUAUUGGAUGUCUGAGAUGGAAAGAGUAAAGGUAAGGGGAAAGUGAAGAGAAUGGUGUGGCUGAGAGAAAUGCGCGAAACCCAAUGACGGAGAAAUACAUUGGGAUAUUGUGCGGUGUUUAUCCCAACAGAAGAAAAGACCCGUGAGAGAGAGAGGACAACAGUUGGAGAGAGGCCAAGUAGGUUUUGGUUUCUUUUGUGAACAAAAUAUUAAUGGACAAAGAAGUGAAAUUGGUUUAAGCUAAAUAAAGAAAAUGAAUAAGAGUUCGGAGUACCCCAAAUACCCAUUAAACCCCAACAAAUAUUUUCAAACCCGAAUGAUUAAAAUGAGCAGCUUACGUCAGCCUGGAAAAAGCAGAGAGGGGAAGAGUCCUCUUAAUGAACAGUCCAAUCGGUUCAUGCUUUAUAGGGUUUUGGUUUCUUUUGUGAACAAAAUAUUAAUGGACAAAAAAGUGGAAUUGGUUUAAGCUAAAUAAAGAAAAUGAAUAAGAGUUCGGAGUACCCCAAAUACCCAUUAAACCCCAACAAAUAUUUUCAAACCCAAACGAUUGAAUUGAACAGCUGACGUUAGCCUGGAAAAAGCAUAGAGGAAGAGUCCUCUUAAUGAACAAUCCAAUCGGUUCAUGCUUGAUAGAAGAAUUUACACUUUGUUCAAUAUUGACCGAGUGCUCUCCCAAAGCAGACAGAUUCAAAGCAAGAGCGUGAGGACUGUAGGUGGAAUUGGUAGGGAACAUGAGAUUAACACUGCAUAUCACCUGAGAAGCUGAUCUGGUUAAUUAUAUUGAAGAGUGAAGUGAAUCGGAAACAGAGGGUGAAUGGGUAGAGUAUUGGAUGUCUGAGAUGGAAAGAGUAAAGGUAAGGGGAAAGUGAAGAGAAUGGUGUGGC
rnacentral:lncRNA from 1 species